rnacentral:rRNA from 1 species
AUUGAACGCUGGCGGCAGGCCUAACACAUGCAAGUCGAGCGGAUGAAGGGAGCUUGCUCCUGGAUUCAGCGGCGGACGGGUGAGUAAUGCCUAGGAAUCUGCCUGGUAGUGGGGGAUAACGUCCGGAAACGGGCGCUAAUACCGCAUACGUCCUGAGGGAGAAAGUGGGGGAUCUUCGGACCUCACGCUAUCAGAUGAGCCUAGGUCGGAUUAGCUAGUUGGUGGGGUAAAGGCCUACCAAGGCGACGAUCCGUAACUGGUCUGAGAGGAUGAUCAGUCACACCGGAACUGAGACACGGUCCAGACUCCUACGGGAGGCAGCAGUGGGGAAUAUUAGACAAUGGGCGAAAGCCUUAUCCAGCCAUGCCGCGUGUGUGAAGAAGGUCUUCGGAUUGUAAAGCACCUUAAGUUGGGAGGAAGGGCAGUAAGUUAAUACCUUGCUGUUUUGACGUUACCAACAGAAUAAGCACCGGCUAACUUCGUG